AGUGCACUGCAGGGUGUACAUGCCAUGUGCACGAUGGGGCGCAACCGCAUGACCCACACCACUCCCCCAUGCAACCACAAGGCACGCGUGGCUGCACCACACCUAGGUGCAAAGUGCAGGGCGAGGGCUGUGCACAAGCAGAGGCACCAUGGGUCCGUGCAGUGUGGCCGUGCUGCUGGGUGCAGCUCUCCUGCUGCUAGCCCCCGGAGGCACCCAGGCUCUUGGCGGUCUCAGACGGGACGCGGACGUGGAGCAGAAUCUGGCGAAGGAGACUGUCCAGGCCCCACAGGCGGUGGAGGAAGCCAAGCUUGCCAAGGACACUGCCUCACGGCCUCUGUUCCCUCCAGACCCUGCUAGGGUCCAGGUGGGGCCAGAGCAGGACCAUGACCAUCUCUACCACCCUUCAGUCGAGGUUGAGGUGGAGCCUGAGCCCCAGUCCCGCAGAGCGCACCUAGUUCUGUCGGCAGAGGUGGAAAAUGGCCCCUCGGAGGACCGUGACCACAUCUACCACAAAUGAGUGAGGCUGCAGCCCUGCCCUCCCCAUGGGCCCCCAAUAAACCUCUCCUUGUU
rnacentral:lncRNA from 7 species